rnacentral:rRNA from 1 species
GAUGAACGCUGGCGGCGUGCCUAAUACAUGCCAGUCGAGCGAACGGACGAGAAGCUUGCUUCUCUGAUGUUAGCGGCGGACGGGUGAGUAACACGUGGAUAACCUACCUAUAAGACUGGGAUAACCUCGGGAAACCGGAGCUAAUACCGGAUAAUAUUUUGAACCGCAUGGUUCAAAAGUGAAAGACGGUCUUGCUGUCACUUAUAGAUGGAUCCGCGCUGCAUUAGCUAGUUGGUAAGGUAACGGCUUACCAAGGCAACGAUGCAUAGCCGACCUGAGAGGGUGAUCGGCCACACUGGAACUGAGACACGGUCCAGACUCCUACGGGAGGCAGCAGUAGGGAAUCUUCCGCAAUGGGCGAAAGCCUGACGGAGCAACGCCGCGUGAGUGAUGAAGGUCUUCGGAUCGUAAAACUCUGUUAUCAGGGAAGAACAUAUGUGUAAGUAACUGUGCACAUCUUGACGGUACCUAAUCAGAAAGCCACGGCUAACUACGUG